GUGAGGAAACAGAAGAAAUCUGCACCUGACCAGCAUUAUAUCUUGAUUUCUAAAUUUGGAGAAGGAUUAAUUUAUGUUUUAGUUGAAAACACCAGUUACUGCCAAUGGCUCAAAGCAAUGGUAACCUGACACAUUACAAAAGUCUCCGUUUCUGUCAGGCACCACAGACCUUCAAGGAAGACCAGAGCACUUCCAAGAUGUCAUCUAAGCAGAGAGGAGCUGACCAGAAUAUAAUUGUAUAAGGAAUGCUCACAAUAAACCAGAGUUCUUAUCCUGAGCUGUAACUGAUGCCCAAAGCAUGCCAUGAAGAAGAGAACUGCAAGAUUGGAAGAAAUACAAGUCAAAAUCUAAUAUAAAUGCUAAUGUACUUAUGUACUAAAAAUCUAGCAAAAUCUGAAAUAAAAGA